ACAAAUCCUGAAUUAUUGCUUCUAAGUUUUUUAAUAACUUUCCUUUUCCUUUUUUUGUUUCGGACCACACAGUACACUAAGAAGGACAUUUUAACGAGCUCUCAGAAAAGGAAAUGAAUUGCCAUAUGUGCUGGGUUGUCUUCUAGUUUGGGCUUUAGCCCAUCUUAUGGCCUCCAUUUGUGAAUUGGGCCCCUUUGUUCCUCUAUUUUCUGUGAGCGAUUUGGGUUUUCUUCGGAGAAAUAUAAGAUGGGGUUCUACUAGGGGGCUGCUUCCGGGGCAGGGAAUGGUUCAGGCUUUGGGUAGGGUUCUGGGCCUAGCCCAAGACCAAAAACACAAACAAAGAAAAAAAUGUUUAGCUAACAAAAUACAUGUUAAGAUUAAAUAUACAAAGUUUGUAUAAAAAUAUACAAAGUUUAAAUGUUUAAUGCA